rnacentral:tRNA from 2 species
AGCUCUGUGGUGAAGUUCAUGUUAGAUUGCAAAUCUAAAGACGCAGGUUGACGCCGGCCGGGGCUU